AGUAGCACGCCUACUCUACUCAGAUUGGGAGGAGACAGAGAAGAUUAGCAUGGUCCCUGCACAAGGAUGACAUACAAAUUUGUGAAGUGUUCAUAAAAAAA
ensembl:snRNA U6 U6 spliceosomal RNA